rnacentral:rRNA from 1 species
UACGUAGGUGGCGAGCGUUGUCCGGAUUUACUGGGUGUAAAGGGCGUGUAGCCGGGCUGACAAGUCAGAUGUGAAAUCCGGGGGCUCAACCCCCGAACUGCAUUUGAAACUGUUGGUCUUGAGUAUCGGAGAGGCAGGCGGAAUUCCUAGUGUAGCGGUGAAAUGCGUAGAUAUUAGGAGGAACACCAGUGGCGAAGGCGGCCUGCUGGAUGACAACUGACGGUGAGGCGCGAAAGCGUGGGGAGCAAACAGG